UGGGGAAACCCACCUCUUUGAGGUAUCGUUAUCUGAAUACAUAGGGUAACGAGGCGAACCGAGCGAACUGAAACAUCUAAGUAGCUCGAGGAAAGGAAAUCAACCGAGACUCCGCAAGUAGUGGCGAGCGAACGCGGACCAGCCCAGUGACCAUCGUGUAAGAACCGGAAGCGUCUGGAAAGUCGCACCAUAGCAGGUGAUAGUCCUGUACGGGUAGAAAGCACUUUGGUCCUCGAGUAAGGCGGGACACGUGAAAUCCUGUCUGAAGAUGGGGAGACCACUCUCCAAGGCUAAGUACUCUCUAGUGACCGAUAGUGAACCAGUACCGUGAGGGAAAGGUGAAAAGCACCCCGACAAGGGGAGUGAAACAGUUCCUGAAACCGGAUGCCUACAAGCAGUCGGAGCCUCCUUGAGGGGUGACGGCGUACCUUUUGUAUAAUGGGUCAGCGACUUACCGUAUCGAGCAAGCUUAAGCCGUUAGGUGUAGGCGAAGCGAAAGCGAGUCUGAACAGGGCGUUCAGUUCGAUGCGGUAGACCCGAAACCGGGUGAUCUAGCCAUGGUCAGGUUGAAGGUGGAGUAACACCCACUGGAGGACCGAACCCACGUCUGUUGAAAAAGACGGGGAUGAACUGUGGCUAGGGGUGAAAGGCCAAUCAAACUCGGAAAUAGCUGGUUCUCCGCGAAAGCUAUUUAGGUAGCGCGUCAGAUGAAUACCAUCGGGGGUAGAGCACUGGAUCGGGAAGGGGGGCGCGAGCCUUACUGACUCGAACCAAACUCCGAAUACCGAUGAGUACUGUCUGGCAGACAGACGGUGGGUGCUAAGGUCCAUCGUCAAGAGGGAAACAGCCCAGACCGCCAGCUAAGGUCCCCAAGUCAUGGCUAAGUGGGAAAGGAUGUAGGACGGCCAAAACAACCAGGAGGUUGGCUUAGAAGCAGCCAUCCUUUAAAGAAAGCGUAACAGCUCACUGGUCUAAUAGCUGUCCCGCGCCGAAGAUGUACCGGGGCUAAAGCCAUGCACCGAAGCUGCGGAUGUGCAGCAAUGCACGUGGUAGCGGAGCGUUCUGUAAGUCUGCGAAGGUGUGCCGUGAGGCAUGCUGGAGAUAUCAGAAGUGAGAAUGCUGACAUGAGUAGCGACAAACAGUGUGAGAAACACUGUCGCCGAAAGUCCAAGGGUUCCUGCGCAAGGCUAAUCCGCGCAGGGUGAGCCGGCCCCUAAGGCGAGGCUGAAAAGCGUAGUCGAUGGGAACCACGUUAAUAUUCGUGGGCCUGGCGGAAGUGACGACCUCCGUAAGUUGUUCGCUCUUAUCGGAUUGAGCGGGCCGCGAAGGAGGUCCUGGAAAUAACUCCGCCAUAUAGACCGUACCCCAAACCGACACAGGUGGACUGGUAGAGUAUACCAAGGCGCUUGAGAGAAUGGUGUUGAAGGAACUAGGCAAAAUGCCCCCGUAACUUCGGGAGAAGGGGGCCCAUCCUCGAGGCAACUCUUGGGUGGGGGCACAGACUAGGGGGUGGCGACUGUUUACUAAAAACACAGGGCUCUGCGAAGUCGCAAGACGACGUAUAGGGUCUGACGCCUGCCCGGUGCCGGAAGGUUAAGAGGAGGGGUGCAAGCUCUGAAUUGAAGCCCCGGUAAACGGCGGCCGUAACUAUAACGGUCCUAAGGUAGCGAAAUUCCUUGUCGGGUAAGUUCCGACCUGCACGAAUGGCGUAACGACUUCCCCGCUGUCUCCAACACCAACUCAGCGAAAUUGAAUUCUCCGUGAAGAUGCGGAGUUCCCGCGGUCAGACGGAAAGACCCCGUGCACCUUUACUACAGCUUCACAGUGGCAUCAGAUAUUAGAUGUGUAGGA
rfam:Tessaracoccus bendigoensis DSM 12906 genome assembly, contig: EK12DRAFT_scaffold00144.144